UUAGGUAGUUGGAGGUGUAAUAGACUAACAAGCCGAUAAUUCUUAGUUGAUCUUAGAAGGAGGUACAACCACAUUGGGAAUGAGAAAAGGCCCAAGUUCCAUUAGGAGGCAGCAGUGAGGAAUAUUGAACAAUGAGCGAAAGCUUGAUUCAGCGAAACUACCUGAAUUAUGACAAUUUAUUGAAAAAUUCUUGUUUAAGUGAGCAUAAUGAGGUUAAACUUAAGAAUAAGCAUCGACUAACUUCGUGCCAGCAGUCGCGGUGAUACGGAGGAUGCGGGUGUUACUCAGCAUUACUGGGCGUAAAGCGUAUGAUAAGUGGUUUAUUUUUUAAUAAUAUAAUUUUAAAGGCGUUAUUAGUAAUAAUGAAUAAAUUAUAUAUUAGUAAACUAAGAGUAUUAUUCAGAUAUAUAGUAUUCAUAGAGGAAAGGUGAAAUUUUAUGAUACUAUGGAGACUAUCAGAAGGUGAAAGCUA
rnacentral:rRNA from 13 species